rnacentral:rRNA from 1 species
AGACGAAGGCGUGAUGCGGAGCAAAAUGAAGUAGUGAAGCUGCGGCCCCUUCCUGUCGAGAAAAGCCGCUAUCGUGUAGCAAGGGCCCGUACCGUAAACCGACACAGGUGGAUGAGGAGAGGAUCCUAAGGCCGGCGGGAGAAGUGUUGUUAAGGAACUCGGCAAAAUGACUCCGUAACUUCGGGAGAAGGAGUGCUGCGCAAGCAGCCGCAGAGAAAUGGCCCAAGCAACUGUUUAGCAAAAACACAGGUCUAUGCGAAACCGAAAGGUGAGGUAUAUGGGCUGACGCCUGCCCGGUGCUGGAAGGUUAAGGGGAGAGCUUAGCGCAAGCGAAGGUUUGAACUUAAGCCCCAGUAAACGGCGGCCGUAACGAUAACGGUCCUAAGGUAGCGAAAUUCCUUGUCGGGUAAGUUCCGACCCGCACGAAAGGCGUAAUGAUUUGGGCACUGUCUCAACAACACACCCGGUGAAAUUGAAAUACCAGUGAAGAUGCUGGUUACCCGCGCCAGGACGGAAAGACCCCAUGGAGCUUUACUCCAGCCUGAUACUGGGAUUCGGUAUUGCAUGUACAGGAUAGGUGGGAGGCUAAGAACUCAUGGCGCCAGCCGUGAGGGAGCCGAUGUUGGGAUACCACCCCUGCAGUACUGGGUUUCUAACCUGCGCCCGUGACCCGGGCGGGGGACAAUGUCAGGCGGGGAGUUUGACUGGGGCGGUCGCCUCCGAAAGGGUAUCGGAGGCGCUCAAAGGUCUCCUCAGGAUGGUUGGAAACCAUCCAGAGAGUGCAAAGGCAGAAGGAGGCUUGACUGCGACACCGACGGGUGGAGCAGGUACGAAAGUAGGACUUAGUGAUCCGGUGGCAUAAAGUGGGAUUGCCAUCGCUCAACGGAUAAAAGCUACCCUGGGAUAACAGGCUUAUCACUCCCAAGAGUUCACAUCGACGGAGUGGUUUGGCACCUUGAUGUCGGCUCAUCGCAUCCUGGAGCUGGAGCAGGUUCCAAGGGUUGGGCUGUUCGCCCAUUAAAGCGGUACGCGAGCUGGGUUCAGAACGUCGUGAGACAGUUCGGUCCCUAUCCGGCGCGGGCGCAGGAUAUCUGAGAGGAGCUGUCCUUAGUACGAGAGGUCCGGGAUGGACCGUCCGCUGGUGGACCGGUUGUCAUGCCAAUGGCACGGCCGGGUAGCCAAGACGGGAAGGGAUAAACGCUGAAGGCAUCUAAGCGUGAAGCCCCCCUCAAGAUGAGAUAUCCAUACUCGAAAGAGUGAGAGACCCCUUAGAGACGAUGAGGUAGAUAGGGCAGAGAUGGAAGCACAGCGAUGUGUGGAGUUGACUGUUACUAAUCGGUCGAUAGCUUGACCU